CACUGUGCAAGAGACACACACAGAAUGGGACAAAGGAAACAGAAGUUUGAAAGUGGAGAAAAAAAAAAAAGAGAGAGA
rnacentral:ribozyme from 11 species